rnacentral:rRNA from 1 species
CCAAUAGCGUAUAUUAAAGUUGUUGCAGUUAAAAAGCUCGUAGUUGAAUUUCGGGAUCGACGGGUCGGUCGCGCCUCUGGUGUGUACUGGCCCUGUCGGUUUCUCCCUUCUGACGAACCACGAUGUCGUUAAUUUGGUGUCGUGGGAAAUCAGGACUGUUACUUUGAAAAAAUUAGAGUGUUUAAAGCAGGCAUUCGCUUGAAUACAUUAGCAUGGAAUAAUGAAAUAGGACGUUUGAUCUUAUUUUGUUGGUUUCUAAGAUCGACGUAAUGAUUAAUAGGGAUAGUUGGGGGCAUUAGUAUUCAAUUGUCAGAGGUGAAAUUCUUGGAUUUAUUGAAGACUAACUACUGCGAAAGCAUUUGCCAAGGAUGUUUUCAUUAAUCAAGAACGAAAGUUAGGGGAUCGAAGACGAUCAGAUACCGUCGUAGUCUUAACCAUAAACUAUGCCGACUAGGGAUCGGAUGAUGUUAAUUUUUUAAUGACUCAUUCGGCGCCUUACG